UACGUAGGGGGCAAGCGUUGUCCGGAAUCAUUGGGCGUAAAGAGCGCGUAGGCGGUCCGGUAAGUCCGCUCUGAAAGUCCGGGGCUCAACCCCGGGAGGCGGGCGGAUACUGUCGGGCUAGAGUCCGGAAGAGGCGAGUGGAAUUCCUGGUGUAGCGGUGAAAUGCGCAGAUAUCAGGAGGAACACCGAUGGCGAAGGCAGGUCUCUGGGCUGACACUGACGCUCAUGCACGAAAGCGUGGGGAGCAAACAGG
rnacentral:rRNA from 1 species